CUGUGCUACAUGGGGAGGUAGCGGUGCCCUGUACUUGCAAUCCGCUGUAGCAAGGUGGAAUUCCCUCUCUAGGCUUAUAUUGUGAGGGCUGACUUUUUUAAGUGGCGUUGAUAACCCGGUCUCGUGCAAUGAGACCCCGUGAACCCUGUCAGGUCCGGAAGGAAGCAGCAGUAAGCGGAUCGUCUCGUGUGACGCGAGGGCGCCGGGUUAGAGUUAACUGUAAGAGUACGCUUGUGAUAUAAUGUCGAAAGAGGGUGCACAG
rnacentral:SRP_RNA from 1 species